UACAUCUGAAUGUAGUUCAUAGUGAAAUCUCUAAAAAGACUUAUAUUUAGGAACGGAGGGAGUAGUACUAAAUCUUCUAAUCUUUACCUCUUUGAAAUUUUGAUGUACUUCUAAAAAAGUUAAGCUGGCAAAGACAUCACCGUAUGACGCUUUCAGAUUUUGUUGCACACUAUCGUGCACUGCGCUAUGUGAAUGUUGAAUACACAUUUUGCAUUUAGCUAGAGGACUCAUUUGAGUCAUUUCCUAUUUGGUACAACAUAUAUUAGGAUUGUAUGUUAACUACUGAACCAUUUAACAUGUAUCAGUAGAUUUCAGCUGGGUGUAAGAUGAUGUAACUGAUAUAUCAGCAGAAUGUCUAAUUUUUAUAUGAGGUACUUUUAGGAAGUAUUUAUUCUUAAUAUUGAUAUAUCAAAGUAAAUAUUGCUGAUUUCAAACACCAUCUGCAAUGACCUGGAUCCAAUAUUAUUUGCAUUGUUCUCUUUUAGAAUUCCUCUUCGAAUGACAGAAAAUUAUGGGAUACUAUCUUCAUUGUCGAUCCAUUUCAUGAGAUAAAAGUCCCUACGUGUUAUGAAUUUUGAUCAUCUUGUUUGUUUUCCUGUUGCCUCACCUUUUAUGUUGAUCACAAGUUUGUCACUCUUAUAGAAUCUUUUGGUACCUCUAAAUCUCCAAUUGGCAUAGCUGAACUCAUGUGAAACUACAUAUAUGUCGUGUAGGAUACUUGUAUUCAUGCUUUGUGCAAAGUUCAUCUUUUUUAUUUCAUGUUUUGUAAAGCAUGGUGUGGCUUCCACAUGCACGAUUGGUGGCAAUGUUUUUAGUCCUUCGGUUUGCAGUUUUCAUGGCCUUGAGCAACACAUUUAGAUAAGGGAUUAGCUUGCAAUAUUCAUAAGAAUUACUCGCUCCGUCCCAUAAUAUAAGGCGUUUUUACCAAGCUAUGUUAGCUUGCAAAAAAAUUCUUAUAUUACAGGACCGAGGGGGGUAUAUUUUUAAUGUACACUUGUUUAUUGUAAAUUAAUUGAUACAUGCAUUGCAUGUGCACAUCUAUUGCAAAAUAAUGAUCCGUUAAAAUGCUACAUGAGAUAAUAUGUUCAAAUUUCUUUCGUUAUUUGUUGACGUUUAUAUUGUAAAUUGUGGUUGUGGGCAUCCCAAAGAAGCUUGUUAUGACAAUUCGAAUUUUCUUGGACCACCGCCGCAAGAACAUGUCACUGCAGGGUCAAGAUACAAGGUCUAGGUAGAAGCGACAUCUUCUCAAGGUGUGCUCACAAGGGUCCAGAGCGAUUACAUGUCCAUCACUCAUGGCGGCGAGAUGCACAUGUAUAAGGUAAGCUUCGUGUGGAGAUGUCGAACCGACACAAGUUGGGAGCCCGGAUGAAGAAGGUUGCCGAUGGGAGAACGGGGAGAAGUGAGAUGUUUAUGGUAGCUAAUGAAUGAUGUUAUCUUAGUUUGUGGAUUUUGUUUUGGUCGACUCAGAAACCUUGUUUAGUGUCUGAAGAUCCCUUUUUGCGAACUGUUCAAACCAUCUCUUCAUUAUUUUUGUGUAAAUGAUCAAAAUGCAAUUUAAAUAACUAAGUUAACCCUUUCAGGAA